AUUGAACGCUGGCGGCAGGCCUAACACAUGCAAGUCGAACGAGUGGCGGACGGGUGAGUAAUGUCUGGGAAACUGCCUGUUGGAGGGGGAUAACUACUGGAAACGGUAGCUAAUACCGCAUACCAUCAGAUGUGCCCAGAUGGGAGUAGCUUGUUGGUGGGGUAACGGCUCACCAGGGCGACGAUCCCUAGCUGGUCUGAGAGAAUGACCGGCCAAACUGGAACUGAGACACGGUCCAACCUCCUACGGGAGGCAGCAGGGGGGAAUAUUGCGCAAUGGGCGCAAGCCUGAGGCAGCCAUGCCGCGUGGAUGAAGAAGGCCUUCGGGUUGUAAAGUACUUUCAGCGGGGAGGCGUUACCCGCAGAAGAAGCACCGGCUAACUCCGUGCCAGCAGCCGCGGUAAUUC
rnacentral:rRNA from 1 species